GAUGAACGCUGGCGGCGUGCUUAACACAUGCAAGUCGAACGGAAAGGCCCAAGCUUGCUUGGGUACUCGAGUGGCGAACGGGUGAGUAACACGUGGGUGAUCUGCCCUGCACUUCGGGAUAAGCCUGGGAAACUGGGUCUAAUACUGGAUAGGACCACUUCUUGGAUGUUGUGGUGGAAAGUUUUUUCGGUGUGGGAUGAGCUCGCGGCCUAUCAGCUUGUUGGUGGGGUAAUGGCCUACCAAGGCGUCGACGGGUAGCCGGCCUGAGAGGGUGUACGGCCACAUUGGGACUGAGAUACGGCCCAGACUCCUACGGGAGGCAACAGUGGGGAAUAUUGCACAAUGGGCGCAAGCCUGAUGCAGCGACGCCGCGUGGGGGAUGACGGCCUUCGGGUUGUAAACUCCUUUCGCUAGGGACGAAGCGUUUUGUGACGGUACCUGGAGAAGAAGCACCGGCUAACUACGUG
rnacentral:rRNA from 1 species